UACGUAGGGUGCAAGCGUUGUCCGGAAUUAUUGGGCGUAAAGAGCUCGUAGGCGGUUUGUCGCGUCGGCUGUGAAAACUCGGGGCUCAACCCCGAGCCUGCAGUGGGUACGGGCAGACUAGAGUGUGGUAGGGGAGACUGGAAUUCCUGGUGUAGCGGUGAAAUGCGCAGAUAUCAGGAGGAACACCGAUGGCGAAGGCAGGUCUCUGGGCCACUACUGACGCUGAGAAGCGAAAGCGUGGGGAGCGAACCGG
rnacentral:rRNA from 1 species